AGAACGAACGCUGGCGGCGCGUCUAAGCAUGCAAGUCGAACGGCAAGAGGUAGCAAUACCUCCUAGAGUGGCGGACUGGUGAGUAACACGUGGGUGACAUACCCUUCAGAUGGGGAUAGCUAUUAGAAAUAGUAGAUAAUACCGAAUACGAGCACAGGGGUUAGAGAUCUGUGAGGAAAGGAGCUAAGGCUCCGCUGAAGGAAUGGCCUGCGGCCCAUUAGCUAGUUGGUGAGGUAAGAGCCCACCAAGGCGAUGAUGGGUAUCCGGCCUUAGAGGGUGAACGGACACAUUGGGACUGAGAUACGGCCCAGACUCCUACGGGAGGCAGCAGCUAAGAAUAUUCCGCAAUGGACGAAAGUCUGACGGAGCCGACGCCGCGUGGAUGAAGAAGGCCGGAAGGUUGUAAAGUUCUUUUCGGGAGGGGGAACAACCGUGGCAGGGAAUGGCCGCGGGAUGACGUGAAUCCCGGAAUAAGCCCCGGCUAACUACGUGCCAGCAGCCGC
rnacentral:rRNA from 1 species